rnacentral:rRNA from 1 species
GAUGAACGCUAGCGAUAGGCUUAACACAUGCAAGUCGAGGGGCAGCACAAGGUAGCUUGCUAUCUGGGUGGCGACCGGCGCACGGGUGCGUAACGCGUAUGCAACUUGCCCUAUACAGGAGGAUAACCCGUCGAAAGACGGACUAAUACUGCGUAUGCUCACAACUUGGCAUCCAGUGGCGAGGAAAGAAAUUCGGUAUAGGAUAGGCAUGCGUCCCAUUAGCUUGUUGGUGAGGUAACGGCUCACCAAGGCAACGAUGGGUAGGGGAACUGAGAGGUUUAUCCCCCACACUGGUACUGAGACACGGACCAGACUCCUACGGGAGGCAGCAGUGAGGAAUAUUGGUCAAUGGGCGCGAGCCUGAACCAGCCAAGUCGCGUGAAGGAUGACUGUCUUAUGGAUUGUAAACUUCUUUUAUACGGGAAUAACAAGAGUCACGUGUGACUCCCUGCAUGUACCGUAUGAAUAAGCAUCGGCUAACUCCGUG